AUAACAACAUUCGGACCGUCGUUCUACCGAGCAAUAUCACCCGCUCGGUGAAAGAUCAUCCCACGGUCGUUAAAC
rnacentral:pre_miRNA from 1 species